AUCAACUUUCGAUGGUAGGAUAGAGGCCUACCAUGGUUUUAACGGGUAACGGGGAAUUAGGGUUCGAUUCCGGAGAGGGAGCCUGAGAAACGGCUACCACAUCCAAGGAAGACAGCAGGCGCGCAAAUUACCCAAUCCCGACACGGGGAGGUAGUGACAAUAAAUAACAAUACGGGGCUCAUUUGGGUCUCGUAAUUGGAAUGAGUACAAUCUAAAUCUCUUAACGAGGAACAAUUGGAGGGCAAGUCUGGUGCCAGCAGCCGCGGUAAUUCCAGCUCCAAUAGCGUAUAUUAAAGUUGUUGCAGUUAAAAAGCUCGUAGUUGAACUUCGGGGUUUACUCAUUGGUCAGGCUUAAUUGUCUGUACUGGUGAGAUGAAUCUCUACCUUCUGAGGAACUUUCAUGCCAUUUAUUUGGUGUGGUUGGAAAUCAGGACUGUUACUUUGAAAAAAUUAGAGUGUUUAAAGCAGGCUAACGUCUGAAUACAUUAGCAUGGAAUAAUGAAAUAGGACGGAUUGAUUCUAUUUCGUUGGUUUCUAGGGUCACCGUAAUGAUUAAUAGGGAUAGUUGGGGGCAUUAGUAUUCAAUUGUCAGAGGUGAAAUUCUUGGAUUUAUUGAAGACUAACUACUGCGAAAGCAUUUGCCAAGGAUGUUUUCAUUAAUCAAGAACGAAAGUUAGGGGAUCGAAGACGAUCAGAUACCGUCGUAGUCUUAACCAUAAACUAUGCCGACUAGGGAUCGGACGCAGUUAAUUUUAUAAUGACGUGUUCGGCACCUUACGGGAAACCAAAGUGUUUGGGUCC
rnacentral:rRNA from 1 species